UAGCCUGUAACUGCCUGCCGUUUGGAAGGUUACCUCUGCAUCCACUGUCAACCUGCGUCGUGAGUAAACACUUACCUUGUUUGGAAAUUUAGGUAGAUUUUUGUUUUAACCGAUAUCUUGUUUUUUUGACAGAAUGGUUUUUAGACCUACCAAGGUUCCGAUAACUGCUUGCUAGAUCCCUUCUCUUCAUGAAUCCUCUGUGAAUUGUGGCGCUAUAUAGUCACGCGUGAAAGAGACUGACAUUCCCCAAAAAGCCUUCCUGAAACAGAGUACUUCCAACCAUAUGGCUCAAAUAAAAAUACUUCUAGCCUGGACAAACUCAUCAGGUCCAACAGCAGCAUAAGAUGAAGACUAAGUCAUUUAUGGGA
rnacentral:lncRNA from 1 species